AUUGAACGCUGGCGGCAGGCCUAACACAUGCAAGUCGAGCGGAUGAAGGGAGCUUGCUCCUGGAUUCAGCGGCGGACGGGUGAGUAAUGCCUAGGAAUCUGCCUGGUAGUGGGGGAUAACGUCCGGAAACGGGCGCUAAUACCGCAUACGUCCUGAGGGGGAAAGUGGGGGAUCUUCGGACCUCACGCUAUCAGAUGAGCCUAGGUCGGAUUAGCUAGUUGGUGGGGUAAAGGCCUACCAAGGCGACGAUCCGUAACUGGUCUGAGAGGAUGACCAGUCACACUGGAACUGAGACACGGUCCAGACUCCUACGGGAGGCAGCAGUGGGGAAUAUUGGACGAUGGGCGAAAGCCUGAUCCAGCCAUGCCGCGUGUGUGAAGAAGGUCUUCGGAUUGUAAAGCACUUUAAGUUGGGAGGAAGGGCAGCAAGUUAAUACCUUGCUGUUUUGACGUUACCAACAGAAUAAGCACCGGCUAACUUCGUG
rnacentral:rRNA from 1 species